CGUGUAGGCGGUUUGGUAAGUCAGAUGUAAAAGGUCCGGCUUAACCGGGGAUGGUCAUUUGAAACUGCCAGGCUUGAGUUCGAGAGAGGGUAGCGGAAUUCCCAGUGUAGCGGUGAAAUGCGUAGAUAUUGGGAAGAACACCAGUAGCGAAGGCGGCUACCUGGCUCGCAACUGACGCUAAGGCGCGAAAGCGUGGGGAGCAAACA
rnacentral:rRNA from 1 species